rnacentral:rRNA from 1 species
GGGCCCGCACAAGCAGCGGAGCAUGUGGUUUAAUUCGAAGCAACGCGAAGAACCUUACCAGGUCUUGACAUCCAGUAAAAGCUGUAGAGAUACAGUGUGCUUCGGCAUACUGAGACAGGUGGUGCAUGGUUGUCGUCAGCUCGUGUCGUGAGAUGUUGGGUUAAGUCCCGCAACGAGCGCAACCCUUACGGUUAGUUACUAACGGGUAGUGCCGAGGACUCUAGCAGGACUGCCGGGGACAACUCGGAGGAAGGUGGGGACGACGUCAAAUCAUCAUGCCCCUUAUGACCUGGGCUACACACGUGCUACAAUGGCCGUAACAAAGAGCAGCGAACUCGCAAGAGCAAGCGAAUCUCAAAAAAGCGGUCUCAGUUCGAUCGUGGGCUGCAACCCGCCCGCGUGAAGUUGGAGUUGCUAGUAAUCGCGAAUCAGCAUGUCG